GCCGACGUAGCUCAGUUGGUAGAGCGCCUGAUUCGUAAUCAGUAGGUCGUGAGUUCGAUUCUCGCCGUCGGCA
rnacentral:tRNA from 1 species